UACAGAGGGUGGCAAGCGUUAAUCGGAAUUACUGGGCGUAAAGCGCGCGUAGGUGGUUUGUUAAGUUGAAUGUGAAAUCCCCGGGCUCAACCUGGGAACUGCAUGCAAAACUGGCAAGCUAGAGUAUGGUAGAGGGUGGUGGAAUUUCCUGUGUAGCGGUGAAAUGCGUAGAUAAUAGGAAGGAACACCAGUGGCGAAGGCGACCACCUGGACUGAUACUGACACUGAGGUGCGAAGCGUGGGGAGCAAACAGGA
rnacentral:rRNA from 1 species